GCCUGCAAUAGAAUAAGUCAUUAUGUUUUUUAUAAUAUUUUUUAAAAUAAUGUUGCAAUAUUGCUGAAGUAAUAUUGCAAAAAAAUAUCUUUGCAAUGUUUCUGCAACAUUGUAUUGCAACGUGCAAUAUUGCAACACUGCAGCAAUGUUGCUGCAAGCUUUUGUGCUGUACGGGUGCCCGACAAUCGAGCAGCGGAGUAGUUUUACGUAUCUACACGUUACGCAUCAAUCCGUAAGCAAUACACAAGAAGUAGUCAACCACCUCAAGAACUACACGUAUAAAAAACCAACACCAACACUCCAGUCACAGCUUCAAGCGUACAUUCUCGCCCGUUUGAGACCUAAACGUUGUUAUACAAGCUUACGCUCGGACGUUCCUGCGGCACAGCGCCGCUCGCGUGUUCGCGAGCUCGACCUUCGAGCGGCGAGCGGUCGCGGGGGGAGAAGUGGGCGUCGCUUCAGGAAUCGGCUCGAAAUGUGCAGAUCGUUGCGAACUCUUAUAAGACAUAAAAUAUUAUAUUGUGUGUUUUACAUUUAAGAGGGGAAAGUCACGUAAUCGGCGGAAAAAAGCUGAUUUUCUUAAAUUUUUUUGCGGCACAAGACUUUUAAUGAACUGUCUAUAACUUUUCUCGCAUAUUUCUUAUAUUUUGUAGAUGUAGAAAACAUUUUUUGAAACAAAUUAAUUCAAAUAUGGCGCCGUAAUGACGCUCGCUUUCUAAGUCCUGAUUUUCGAAGGGAUUAAAUGGCGUACAAGGUAGUACUUUUUUAUCGCAUUCUAAAAUAAAAAAAUCGAAUAAAUCUGUCUUUUUGAUGAAAUUGGAUGAAACCGGAAGAACCUCAAUCCGAUAGCAAAAAGUACUAAAAUAAAAAUUCUACGCAGUUUUGAAAAAAAAUAUCAAAUUUUUGCAAAACUUUUAUUUUUAUCUUGUAAAAAAAAACGUUUAAAUAGUUAUUCUUACAAGUUUUAUAGGCUCACCUGGUAGAAAAUUUAGUAAAAAAUAAACGUGCACUGUCUCAACUGUAUUGAUCAAAUAUUUUUUUAAUUAUAUUGUACGCCGUUUUAAUUUCCUCGAAAACUAGGACUUGGAGAAAGAGCGUCAUUAUGUUGCCAUAUUGAAACUAAUUUGGUUCAAAAAAUUUUUUUCUAUAUCUACAAAUUAUGAGAAAUAUGUGAGAAAAGUUAUGGACAGUUCAUUGAAAGUCUUGUGCCGCAAAAAAAAUUAUAAAAAUCAACUUUUUUCUACUUUUUCCUGAUUUUUCCUCGUUAAUCUGUAUUUCUAAUUUUUUUGUUUCUAAUAUUUAAUAAUUAUUUCUAUUCCUCCAUUGUACGCAAGACCUUAUUAAUAGAUUAUAUACAACUUGACAUAAUAUUUUUAACACACAAAGUAAUUAAAAUUGUUCUAAAAAAACGCAUCGAUCUAUUAUGGAAAGUUAGUAUUACUGAUAUAUAUUAAGACUAAUAUGUCAAUUUGUAUGUAUAAUAAUAUAACGUAUUUUAUUUAAGAAUUCUUAAAGGUUAAAAAUUAUAGAAGUAAUUCUUAUUAAAUGACCAUGCAUGUAUAAUACAAAAGAAUAGGGGUCAUUAUGUUUUUUAUAAUAUUUUUUAAAUAAUGCUGCAAUAUUGCUGAAGUAAUAUUGCAAAAAAAUAUCUUAGCAAUGUUUCUGCAACAUUGUAUUGCAACGUGCAAUAUUGCAACACUGCAGCAAUGUUGCUGCAACUUUGUACUGUACGGGCGCCCGAAAAUCGAGCAGCGGAGUAGCUUUUACGUAUCUACACGUUACGCACCAAUCCGUAAGCAAUAUACAAGAAGUAGUCAACCACCUCAAGAACCACACGUAUGAAAAACCAACACCAACACUCCAGUCACAGCUUCAAGCGUACACUCUCGCCCGUUUGAGACCUAAACGUUGUUACAGGGAUGGAGACUUCCUUAUGCUGGGUGUGGAGCAUUCCACACCCAGAGCUCCCGUUGGUGUGGAAUUCCACACCCAGAAUUUGGGGUAUUUAAAAAAAAUAUUUUAUUUUUUAAUAAAUUUCAAGAAUUUUUGACAAAAAACAAUAUUUGACUAUGGUGCCCACGCUGCAUGCUACCGCUCUGCUUACCCAACUCUCAUAUCUCGUAUCCCCCCACUUUUUACAUAUCUUACCUAAACUUCCCAUACUUUUGUUGUUAAUCGUGCGUGCCUAUUUCGUGCUCGAGAUCUCAUUUCUCUUCAUUGAACUGAACAUGAGAAAUUUUUUUACCUCUAUUACAUUAGAAAAGAUUUCUUUAAAUUAAAAUGUUACUUAAAUAAAUCUUUAAAUUGUUUUUUAUUUAAUCUUAAAAAAUUUUUAUACGCUACUGGAUUUUUGACUGAAAGUUCAUUAUGUAACAUUAAGUAUACUUUACUUUCUUUUAAUAUGUUAUAACGUACACCAAAUAUUUCUGUUGUGUUUACAAAGUUUAUUUCUACGAGUAGAUAUUGCUAAAAUAUAAUUAUAGCGUUAAAUAUAAUAAUAUAUAUAUCUAAAAAAUAGGAUAAGAUUUCUUGUGAUAUCUUAAACUUAUACAGAAAAUAUAUUUCAUAUAUAUAA